rnacentral:rRNA from 1 species
GAUGAACGCUGGCGGCGUGCCUAAUACAUGCAAGUCGAGCGAACAGACGAGGAGCUUGCUCCUCUGACGUUAGCGGCGGACGGGUGAGUAACACGUGGAUCACCUACCUAUAAUACUGGGAUAACUUCGGGAAACCGGAGCUAAUACCGGAUAAUAUAUUGAACCGCAUGGUUCAAUAGUGAAAGACGGUUUUGCUGUCACUUAUAGCUGGAUCCGCGCCGCAUUAGCUAGUUGGUAAGGUAACGGCUUACCAAGGCAACGAUGCGUAGCCGACCUGAGAGGGUGAUCGGCCACACUGGAACUGAGACACGGUCCAGACUCCUACGGGAGGCAGCAGUAGGGAAUCUUCCGCAAUGGGCGAAAGCCUGACGGAGCAACGCCGCGUGAGUGAUGAAGGUCUUCGGAUCGUAAAACUCUGUUAUUAGGGAAGAACAAAUGUGUAAGUAACUAUGCACGUCUUGACGGUACCUAAUCAGAAAGCCACGGCUAACUACGUG